rnacentral:lncRNA from 1 species
GGAAGCUUAUUAGGUUUCCAGUCCAGCAUGUAAGGAUGUUUGAAGUUGGAGUUCAUCCUAACAACAAGUAAAAAGCUGAACAAACUGAAAAUCAGCAACUUCCGUAUGAGAAGUGAGGUCCCAGGGCAAAUUGCUGCCCCUGAAAUUAAAGACAAGAGGACACAGAAAAUCCCAACUUACCUAAGCAGAAAGUCUAGAGCAGAAACCUCCACAGGAACCAGUGCCAAGACAGCCAUAGAUGAAAAGGAGUCCCACGGCAGCGAAUCCAGCAUAAAGGAAGAAGGCUCCUGCAAUGGAAAAUAAUAUUUUUGGCAGUGGUAAGUGCCAUUCUCAGUGGACACUGAAAUGCACAUGCCGUGGCCUGAAUGGCGUAGAUGAUACAGUGGAAGGCAUAACUCCCAGCACGACAUUUGGGGGAGCUACUUUCAGCCCUACCCUGAUUCUGCUCUUGGACACGACUCCAUCCCUGUCGUGGGACAUCUUCAAGCAUUAGCCCUAG